GCCUGAGCACAGUCGGAGCCGAGAGCAUCAGGUUUUAAUAUGUUUCUGGCAUCAAAAAUAUUGUAUCGGAAUGUCAAGUUCCUACUAAAGACAGAUUUUUCUUGAUUUUAAGCAUCAUCAGCCUAACUCAAACAGAAAUGAAUUUAUACUGAGGACCUGGGUAGCCUGCAACAUCAUGGGAGAGCUGUAGAGCAAGAGUGGUGCAAACAGGCGGGAGCCAAGGGGGCUGGGAGGCAGGAAAACUUGCUUAGUGCAUUGCAACUCACUUCACGUUUACAGACGUCUCUUACUACCUCUGGACACUGACCACUGCCAGUGCCCCUGGAUCCUGGACACCAGUGGUAUAAGUGGAAACUUGCCACCUCUCCCCUACCUUUGAGCAAUUUCCUAACUGUCCCCACAGAAGCAUUCAAUUGACAGCCCAAGUCACAUGACAACGCCCUGGGCGCCAGAGGGCAGGGAGCUGG
rnacentral:lncRNA from 10 species